rnacentral:rRNA from 1 species
CUUAAGCAUAUCAAUAAGCGGAGGAAAAGAAACCAACAGGGAUUGCCCUAGUAACGGCGAGUGAAGCGGCAACAGCUCAAAUUUGAAAUCUGGCUUUCGGGCCCGAGUUGUAAUUUGUAGAGGAUACUUUUGAUGCGGUGCCUUCCGAGUUCCCUGGAACGGGACGCCAUAGAGGGUGAGAGCCCCGUCUGGUUGGAUGCCAAAUCUCUGUAAAGUUCCUUCGACGAGUCGAGUAGUUUGGGAAUGCUGCUCUAAAUGGGAGGUAUAUGUCUUCUAAAGCUAAAUAUUGGCCAGAGACCGAUAGCGCACAAGUAGAGUGAUCGAAAGAUGAAAAGCACUUUGAAAAGAGAGUUAAAAAGUACGUGAAAUUGUUGAAAGGGAAGCGUUUAUGACCAGACUUGGACUUGGUUAAUCAUCUGGGGUUCUCCCCAGUGCACUUUUCCAGUUCAGGCCAGCAUCAGUUUUCGCCGGGGGAUAAAGGCUUCGGGAAUGUAGCUCUCUUCGGGGAGUGUUAUAGCCCGUUGUGUAAUACCCUGGCGGAGACUGA